GUAGGACUUACCUUUCCGGACCUUUGAUCUCUAGAGGAAUUUAGCUCGCAGCUUUCAUUAAGACCUGUGUCUUUAAAGCAGUAGAGCUGAUUUUCUGAGGAGAUGAAAAAAGAGCUGUUGCUUAAAAUGACUGAACUGCUACAAACUUUUUUGGUAAAAUUCAUGCUUAGUGAUGUGUGGUGUUUUGGCUUUUAAACUUCCUUAAUGCUUUUAGAAUUGAAAACAUAAUAUUUUCCUUGGAAAAGGUGGCCCAGCAAUAAUCACAGUUUAGCUGACAUAAAGCUGAUUGAAUGGAUUAUCUUUCUGAAAUCAGUUGAUUUUCAAGAUUUGAAAUAUAAACCUGGCAAUAUCUCUGUGUUAAACUUAAAAAUGUAUUUCCUUUAAUAUUUUUUUUUUUUUCCUAAACCUUGAAGUUAAAUUUAAAAAUAGGAUCUGGUUUGAGCACAUUUUCUGAUGCCAGAAGAAACAGGAGAAAGUCUGUAGUGGUAGAAGAAGUCUUUGAUGAGAGGUCACACAAGGCCAAACCAAAAUCUUGCUCCUCUGCCUGGCGUUUUUGCAGCACUGGGAGCUAGCUACACUGGUGUGUAAUUAUCCUAGACCUACUGCGGAGAGGGAAUGGGAGGAAGGAGAGUCCUCCCCCCUUGAUAAGGACAUGUCUCGUUUGCGGUGGGAUGGUAAAAUAGUGUAACAUAAAUCGCUUUGCUUGUGAGUACCCUGAUUUACAUGAGUAUGGGUGCUGGAGGGAAAGAACAUUUGUCAGACCUGGUUGAAUCCUGACAUCUUACUGUGCUUUCAAGCUCUGCUUUCCCUUUCCUCUGUUCUUCAUCUCUCCUCAUUUCUUUCCAUCCCCUUAAAUGCAUGAGUUUCCUACCACAUUUGCCCUGUGUUGAGCAUCAGUUGCUUCCAGCUGAGGCUGGGGCUUUCUCCUGGAGCCGUUCUUGGAUCAUACUGCCUGCUGCAUCACGUUGCAUUUACUGUACUCCAGAUGCAGCUCCCUUCAUCUAUGGUAUAUGUUCUGACCAUCUUCCAGUUAAGGUUUGGCAGAGACCACAAGUGAUCUUUCUGGACACAGUCGUGUAACUGGCUGUCUGGAUGGGAGCUGCUGUCCUCAGACAGGUCUACGAGGACAAAUUGUCCUCUCUUCUGGACCAAAAGUGUGAGGAUCCUUCAGGAGCAGCAUACUGUUAUCCCAAUUGUAGGAAAACCUUGCUCAUAAAUAGAGGUGUGGGGUGUUUACGGGCAAGGAUACUACUUGACCCUGUAAGCAGCUGUGUUGUGCUUGGUUGUUGAACUGUGCUAUCUUAAAUCCUCAAAAUUAUAGUAACUCUCCAAAUAGAUAACCUCAAAAUAUGUUUCACUUUAGAAUUCCAAAAAGCGAGGCUUCUCAGUCAUACCAGGAAAGCAAGUGAGAGAGAGAAAAUGGUUUUGUCACAGCACACAAGUGUGAUGGCAGUGGUGAGGGUGAUACUGUUAAUAAAACACAAAUAUAAGAAUUGGCUUCUAUCUAUCUAUCCCCGGUUCUUACUUAGUCUUGAUAGCAAUCUUGGGAUGAACUUGUCCUUUGUAAAGCAAACUGGAAAACUUUUUAGGCAGUUGAACAUCUUGCAAUUUUUCCUGUCUUUUCUCUAUUUGCCAAGAGUGAUAAACUAGCAUAUUGUGGCUUGAUCAAAAACAGUUUAAGGCUGGCUGAUAAACGAAAUUAUUCCUACAGAUUUUGUAUCAUUUGGGGUCUUAUUUAAAAAAAAAACAACAACCAAAAAAACCAACAACAAACAAACAAA